rnacentral:sRNA from 1 species
GAUGUAUUGACUGGGCGAACUUUAAAAGACGAAAAAUGAAAACCUUCAUUUUAUUGGUAUUCAUUCUCAAUGUUAAAGAGAAAGGUCGUAUGGAAGACACAAACAUGAAGUUUAUUAGUUUUCAUACUAUUUAUUUUAUAUAUACUUCCUGUUCAAUAUCAUUAAGGGAUUUUAGCUAUUUGGAAAUAAAUGAGCUGAGCCUGAGCCUGAGUUUGAGUGAAGAAUCACCUAACUUGCCUUCUUUAAUGAAACCCCGAGACGAGUGAGUUCAGAAUGAUGAUGGAAAGCUGCCGAUGCUGUGGUAAAAAAAAGAGAUCGAGACUUCUUCGUGGCAACACCAAGAAGCAUCGACCUCGAUCCAACACAACAACACACAAUGAGGAUGAUUAACUUGUUGCCAUAUUAUUAUUUACAAAUACUGCUUAAAAACUAUUACAUGGUAAUUCAAUGUAGGUGCGCAUCUUAACUAAUUUAGAUAAUAAAUUCAAACAUUUCAAUCAGAUCAGAGGAAAACAAUUGUACUUUCAACAUUUACCUAUACAAAAGAUAUUGUUUUGAAUUCUAGGCUGUAGAGGAGAAGAUGUCUUCACAUUCAAUUG